UACGAAGGGUGCAAACGUUUGCUCGGAAUCAUUGGGCGUAAAGCGCACGUAGGCGGCUUUGCAAGUCUGACGUGAAAUCCCCUCAGCUCAACUGAGGAAGUGCAUCGGAAACUGCAAGGCUUGAGUACUGAAGAGGAUCGCGGAAUUCCCGGUGUAGAGGUGAAAUUCGUAGAUAUCGGGAGGAACACCAGUGGCGAAGGCGGCGAUCUGGGCAGAUACUGACGCUGAGGUGCGAAAGCGUGGGGAGCAAACAGG
rnacentral:rRNA from 1 species